UCCUUGCUGUGGCAAUUAAAAGUGUAGUCGGAGAGUAACGCUGCUGCAGGCAAGUUGUGGACUUGAGUUGAAUCGGACUAAGGCGGGCAAGAGUGCGUUCAUAGAACCAAACCACAUCCUUACUUGCCAGCGAGAGUGUGUGUUCGAUGUGGGCUCGUGGCAAAUAAAGUUCUUCCACUCUGACAUCA